CUUAAUAAUGCCCAAUUAAUUCCAUUAAAAAAUUGUUGAUGCUUAAUUGAAGCUGCUCCCAUUGUAGAACCCAACCGUCUUACAGGGUCCUUCACCAGAAGUUGUGUGAUCAGAUCCUUAGCCGUCGCCGGCACGAUGGGCUCCUUAGGAAAUUCUAAGGCUCGAGCCACUAUGUUGGCUAGGGUUAACUCGUGAUCAACCCCUUUAAAUGGAGUCACACCAUACAACAUUUCAAAUAUGAAUAUGCCCAAGGUCCACCAAUCCACCGCAUUGCCAUGCCCUUCGCCGGAGAUGAUUUCCGGCGCCAAGUACUCAUGGGUCCCAACGAAUGACAUUGACCGAACGUCUAUUGGCUCUGCCACAAUCUCUAGGGAUCCACGUUGAUUGGAUUUCUUUCUGCGUUUACGUUUCGGAUGAAAGCAUGGGACAGCUGGCACGAUGCAAUUGGGUAGAAUGCAUGAUGACAUGUCGGAUUGAGGUGGAUCAGGAGGGUACUCAUUUAUUGAAUCUGCGGUCGCCGGGUUUUGAUCAGAAACAAUUUGAG
rnacentral:misc_RNA from 1 species